UCUUCCACGCAUCUGGGUGAAGCCGCAGUUUGAAUCUAUGAAAUCUGAAGUCCUGGUCAGAGCGGAUAAGACCGUGGGUCAUGGUUUCUGGGAGAACUAAAGGGUAACCCAGCUUGGAGACUGGGAUGAAUGUCACAGACUUGGCAGUGAUAGAGAUGCCCUGAGCCUUGCAGAAGACAGCUUUAAGGGAGAAGAUCUCAGUUGGACUAUAGCUGCCAGAUAAUGUGACAGCAGUUAAGUAGAAUGAAGGCGAGCUGUUAAGCAUGGCCAUGCCAAGGAGAAGCUGACCUCACCUGAGCCAAGUCACAGGGGACCCUGGGCCAGGAGAAUCUGCCUGGGUGCAGUCAGUGACACCCCAGGCAGACCCUCCCGCCCCUGGAGAAGAGCCCGGAGCUCCCUCUCUCAGAGUAUUUAGCUGGGACUGCCCUCUUCUCCCCAACUGGCCAUGAGCCCCAGCCUCUUUUGUGUGAUUCUCUGUCUUCUGGGGGCAGGUGAGUUCCAGGCGCAGCUGAAACGUCUGCCUUCACUUU